UUCGAUUUAUACAAUGGCUCUUACUGGCGGGAGCGUUUGUAGCGCAAUAAAUUGCACUAACAACAGGAAGAAGACACCACAGCUGUCUGUUUUUAGGUUUCCUAAGGAUCCUGAGAGGAGCAGAAAAUGGCUUGUUAAUAGCAGGCGAGAAGGCCUCAUUAAGAAAGAACCAGUGUACCUGUAUAAUAAUAUUAGGUUUUGUUCGCCACAUUUCGAACAAAACCAGUUCAUGAACGCAGACAACAACAGACUCGUGUGGAAUGCAGUACCCACACUGUUUGACAUUCCAAAUAAGCCACCUCAGCUGACGAUGAAGAGGAAACUGCCGCAAAGAUUCGACAGUCAAUCUAAAGCAGUAAAACAGUCCUAUGACACAGAAGCAGCCGGUUCAACUCUGCAUGUAUCAGUGCCAGAUUCGUGUGAAUCUUCAACACAGACUUGCUUUGACGAUGAAGUGGUUAGAUUAAGUGCAGCUGUUCGUGUCUUAAAAAAGCGUCUGAAGUGUCAGAAUGUGCAAAUCGCUAGACUUUGAGCGAAACUAUUACGGGACAAGGAAAGUGCCUACAGACAGCGACAGAAACUGUAUCAGAAGGAGCAAGUGAACAAGGACAAACGAAUGUUAAAGACUGUAGGAUCCCGAUAUUUAAAAAAAGUGCCCUUGACUUGUUGGUAAGCCAGAUUACCAUGCCAUUGAGAGAAAAACGUGCUGCAAGAUGGAAAGACGAAAAUAAUCUGUUUCCUCUAAAUUUAUUAUAUUACAGCACUCAGGCAUACAGGUUUUUGUCAGAAUGUUUUAUGCUUCCAUCAGUGCGUACAUUACAAAGGUAUGUGGAAGGCAUACAAAUAAAAUGUGGGAUAAGUGACUAUAUAUUCCAUCUUUUAAAGCAAAAGGUGCAACAUUUUUCUUAUAUUGAUAAACUUGUGAAUAUGUCAUUGGAUGAAAUGUCUCUAAUGGCAAAUUUGACAUAUGAGGCACAGCUAAAAUUGCGAACAGUGUGUUGGUGAUAAUGAUUAGUGGCAUUUUUUCAUGUUUCAAACAACCAUUGCUGUACUGUUUUUGUAAAGGAACAGUGGGAGCUAUGCAUUUGACUGCUAUAUUUUAUGAAGUACUCAAGAGACUUAAGGAAAUUGGCUUGGUUGUAAAGACCUGUGUGACUGAUCGGGGUUCAAAUUUUGUGGGCUGGAGAAAGAGACUGGGAAUUACACAAGACAAUCCAAGUUUGGUAUAUGAGGAGCAGAAGAUCUAUUUCUUCUAUGAUACCCCACGUUUGUUUAAGAGCAUCAGAAACAACCUAUUUAGGUAUGGCAUAAUUCAUACAUCAAAUGAUGGUUUGGUUGGUACUGCUUCUUGGAAGGACAUUUCUCAGCUCUAUUCAAAUGACUUGCACAGGAAAUACAAGUUAGCUCCGAAGCUGACUAAAAAGGCUGUCAAACUGCCAGCUUUUUCAAAAAUGUAAGUGGGUACUGCAGCUCGUGUGUUAAGCCACACAGUGGCAGCUGGUAUUGACACACUUGUAUUUUGUGGUAGUAUGCCAUUAUCUGCAACUGGCACUUCAGACUUUUGUCAGAAAGUUAAUGACAUUUUUGAUUUCUUUAAUACAUACAGUGUGAAAGGGCCUGUGCAUCUAAGAAACUGUAUUAGGAGUGAUUCAGAGCAUCUGGAUGUUCUACAUGUGAUGAAGCCAUGGAUUCACUCUUGGAAAUUUGUAGGCUCUGAUGGAAAAGAUUACUCCCUGAGGAUAAAAUGUGUAAAGGGGCUUCUAAGCAAUAUAUGAGCUUUGGAAAUGCUUGCUGCCGAGGUACUGACUGGAACAAAAUUGUACUUAUUCUCACGUAAAAUUAACCAAGACACAUUGGAAAACUUUUUUUCAACUAUGAGGCAGAGAGGUGGUUUUUGCAGCAACCCAUUUCCAAGGCAGUUUUGUGCUGCAUUUAACAACUGUACACUAAGCAAACUGAUAAAUUCCUCUAAUGUGGCAAGCAGUAAUUGUGAAGGAAUUGACUGGGGUCAGGCAAUACUGGACAUGAAAUCUGCUCAAACAUUAAAGGUCUCUCAGUUGUUAUGCAGUAGUGAUACAAGUUCUGCAACAAAGCUACCAAAUGUGGAAGUUCCAGCAGACCUUGAAGAACAAAACAGUAUGAGAUAUGUGUUUGGUUACAUAUUGAAGAAACUUUUUUCUUUACAUAAUUGUGUCAAGUGCAGGAAUCUACUUGUAGACAACAGCCAGGACUUAGAUGCAAAUGACAAAUUUUAUUGCCAUUUCAAAAGUUACGAAGACAAUUUUGAAGCUUGGUUAUUUGCAGUGAAAAUAUUUGUUUAUUUUUGAGGGAUUGUGAAAAUCAGAUGGCAUCAGUUUUUGAUGAACAUUCUCACAAGAAAAACUGUGGUGAAUUAUAUGUAAACUUGUUGCUGGCUGUCCCAAGUUUUCCCCCUGGAUGUUGUGAAGAAACUAAGCUGCUGUUAAUCAAGAUAUUUGUUAAAGUGAGACUUGUUUACCGGCUCAAAUAUUGGAAUCAAGACUUAGUUUCUAACAACAAGAAAGCAAAUAAGAAACUGAAGUAGUUGGCUCAUUUGGGCUGCUGAUUUCUUUGUUGCUUGUCUCACUUAUAAUAAUAUAAAGAUGAAGGUCGUACUUGUGGCAACGGGCGAAAAUGACAAACGCAGUAGGCCUACAGUACGAUAAACGAGCUGUCGGUCGUUUUUGCAUGUAGAGGUACAUGUAUGUGCUUCCUACAUGUGAAUCUGUGUGUUUAUAAUCUUUUGAUAUCAACGUGAAUCAUUUUUAGUAACAUAUAUGCCUUCUGGUACCACACAAACCCUUGGAGCCAAGAAAAUAACUCAAAUAAUUCGGAAAUGAAGAAGGAAAUGGAUGCAAACAAACAUUAUGCUUACGACGCGUCUGACGUUCACCUUACCUGCCACUUGGAGCGCUAGUGUCGCUCCAUCUGUCAAACGGCAACAAUUUUUACAGCAGACACUAAUGACAGCAGCAGAGAAGCUUGCCGCUGUUCCUGAUGUGGAUAUCGACCCAGAAGGAACAUUUAAGUAUGUUCUAAUACGUGUCUUUGGUCCAGAGGGUCCUGAUGGCAAAGAACCGAGCAAAUUAGUGACAACGGGUGCAUGAAGCUGAAAGAUUCGCUCUUCAAGUUACCAAAGAAGCAAGAAGUGCUAAAAGGAAUGCCAAGAGGAAGCUUGAAGAUGAAGAAAGGCUGCAGGAUGUAGACUAUGCUUCAGGAAUUUUCUGAGGCACAGUUUAAUUGGACUCAUAUGUUCAUUCGCAAUUUCCCGCAAGUUGUUUUCUUCAGAAUUCAGGUGCGAGGAUACAAGUGAGUUGGCUUCCAUUCGGACGUCUACGAUGAGACGAUGGACAGGGUGAAAGGCCUUGGCGUUGAUACCGAGUGCACUGGUGGUGGCAGAAUACAGCACGACCCCAGUGCCAACGUCAUCAAAGCGUACAGCUACUCACAGGUGAUACCAAAAGCAGUGAGUUGUAGAAAUGACAGUAUGUGUCAUCUUGAGCUGUUAUUCAACUUAAUUUUUUACUGUGUGACUGGUUUCAGUUGAAGACCAUUUUCAGGCACCUGUUGUAUAUACAUCGUGGAUACGGGAAAAUUUGGGAUGAAAAGAAUGUUUGAAAAUUAUAGUAACAAUACAAGCAACACUUACAGAAUUUGAUUACCAGCAAAAACUAUAUAUAUCAAAAGAAUACAAUGUCAGAAAUAUAAAUUAAAUAUCCACAAGCAUUGUAUGUAUUGUUACUACAAUUUUGAAGUAUCCAUUUUGCCUGAAUUUUUCCUGUUUCCAUGCUGUGGGUACAACAAGUGCUCAAAAAUGGUCUUUGAGCAAAACUGGUUGCAUCGUAAAAAAAAAAUUAUCAACAGCUUAAAGUGUUACAUGAUGACAUUUCUACAAUUCGUAUAAGCUGCAGACCACAGUUAACAAAAAUUAUUUUAAGAACAGUGAAGUUUCUGUUCAUACGUUGUGUGCCCUAUAAUUCAAGUAUUUUUAAAGUUUUUAAGAAUGUUAUACGCCAAGCUCCUCCAUGGGAAAGCAGUUUCUGCUUCGGUUACAUGGCACAAAUUAUAGAAUACCUUGUUAGAUGGUCAGAAGCAAAUGUCACCAGACGUUAAUACCUGUAAAUCAUCAUCAUCAUGCUUCUUACAACCGUGUACAAUAAUUUGGGUGUGGUGUUGUGGACAAGUGUUAUGGUUGAAAUGGCUACUGUUGUUCUGGGUAGCAGCCAUGAUUAUGAAACUUCCUGACAAAUUAAAACUAUGUGCCGGGCCAGGACUACAUCUUGAAACCUUGCCUUCCGUGGACAAUGCUGAUACCAACUGUGCUGUUCAAUCUGAUUCAUGAUUUUUUCUUACACCUUUCAGAUUACUUUUGAGGCCACAAUCCUUGCUUCCACUUGUAUAUUUAGCGAGAGAGAGUUGUAUAUGUAGCAUGAGAGAGAGAGAGAGAGAGAGAGAGAGAGAGAGAGAGAGAGAGAGAGAGAGGAUCUUCUGUCCCAUAAUUUUAUGACAUUAUUAUUAUUAUUAUUAUUAUUAUUAUUAUUACCAGCUUCUGUAUCUUUUGAUUGAGUAUAGUUACGGCAGCACGUGAAUUGUGGUGAGCCUGGUGUUUUUACAAGACUUUUUCCAGUUGCCAGAACAGUUGUCAUAAUUACUCAAAUCAACAAUUCCUUGCACUUGGAGCAGACCAAAUGAUUCCUCUGUACCCCUCGCACCUAUUUUAUACUUUUCAGACUGUGUUUCACACAUUUUGUGACCUACCUGUUUCAUUUAACACAGUUAAUACAGUUGCAGAUUGUGGGUAAGUGUUUAAUGUUUUUGCACGGUUACUGCUGCUUGUGUUUCAGUGUUGUGUACAAUGCCAGACCCAUCAAUAGAAAAAUUAAUUCUGAUGCUGCAUCUUGCACAUCUGUUCUGAAGGUCUUUACACACUCCCUUUUUCUGCUGCUUUUGUGUUGUGAUGUGUGGUUUAGAAAAUUUCAGAUUGCUUUACGGUUUCAUGUGCUCUGUAUUAGAUGCAUUUUUAGUGUACGUACAAGCACAUUGUUUACUUAUGAUGUAGUUGUAGUUAAGAGUUCUCGUUUUAGUGUUUAAUUAUUAUUGUGAUAUGUAGCACACUUUUUAAUUGUACUUUAGUUUUAAAAUACCCAAAGACUGCUUCAUUUCAGGGGUUUGGGAAGGCAGACCACAGCAAGAAUGUAGAAAUUCUGAAGACUGCAUAUCCUGUUUACAACAUUACUUGGAGUGAUGAAGGAUACUGAUCUGCUCAGGUUGUAAUAUUUGACAUUGCAGCUUUUGAAAAUGGAGCAGGAUGUUGUGCCCUCUUUCCUAUUGGAGUGUUUCUCUGUGAUCAGAAUUGGAGGCAGACAAUUCACUUGAACUUCCAUUGCUGUUGUUGAUGUCUUUGAAUCAUGUUGUUUCUUUGUGAUUAAUAAAAAAAUUAUACAACCCAA